AAUCAACGCUGGCGGCGUGCCUCAGACAUGCAAGUCGAACGCGAAAGUUCCCUUCGGGGAGCGAGUAGAGUGGCGCACGGGUGAGUAACACGUAGGUAAUCUACCUUUGGAUUGGGAAUAACACCGAGAAAUCGGUGCUAAUACCGAAUAAUGCAGCGGCACCUAAUGGUGACAGUUGUUAAAGCGGGGGAUCGCAAGACCUCGCGUCUAAAGAGGAGCCUGCGGCGGAUUAGCUAGUUGGUAAGGUAACGGCUUACCAAGGCGAUGAUCCGUAGCCGGCCUGAGAGGGCGGUCGGCCACACUGACACUGACAUACGGGUCAGACUCCUACGGGAGGCAGCAGUCGGGAAUUUUGGGCAAUGGGCGAAAGCCUGACCCAGCAACGCCGCGUGAAGGAUGAAAUCCCUCGGGAUGUAAACUUCGCAAGAACGGGAAGAAUAAGUCGGUGCUAACACCAUCGGCGAUGACGGUACUGUUUGUAAGCUCCGGCUAACUCCGUGC
rnacentral:rRNA from 1 species